rnacentral:lncRNA from 1 species
AUAACAGUUAAGCAGAAUGGGAAAAUGGCAUACAAUCUAAUUUACCUUUCCAGCUCUUGGCACAUGGGUAGAUUAAAGAUGUAUAGAGGAAGGAGGAGAGCAUUUUAGCUGGAGGCAGUAAAGGAAGUUGAAUUAUGAGUGAGAGAUCUGAUAGGAAAAGGAAGGAAAUUAAAGACAGGCUGGGUUAUGGAGCCCCUUGACUUCAGGCUGACUUAAAGCAGUAGGCAACAGGGAAUCGCCAAAGGCUGCUGGGCAAGAAACCGUGGUAACGGUCCUAUGGGGGCAAGAUAUCUCUGGCAGCCAGUGCCAGGUGGAUUGCAAAGGGACUGAGUAGGAGGGCUGGAACUCAGGACAAGCUGCUGAGGGAUGCUGGAAAGGAAAGCUUGGUGGACGCGCUGACUCCUGGCACAUUAAGAAUGAAGAAAGUGGUGCCAUCCAAAUGGUUUCUCCGACCUUGACCUCCACAGGCUGGGAGAAUAACAGCACCUCCACCAGGAAGUGUGGUUGGGCACCGAGGAGAGAAUGUGCUUUGUUUCAGGACCCACAGCAGGAAUUUGAACACAGAUCAGUUAGACCCCAAGCCAAGCUCUUAGUCCCAUACAGAGUUGGGCCCUGGUGGAAGAAUUGUUUGGCCUAAAGUGUCAACAGUGUCAAGAUUGAGAAGCCCUUGUGUAGACCCAAGGAUGGGCAAAAGGCUCUUAGGAAGAUGGCAGCGCUUCACAGAUGCAGUGCCCAAGUCUCUCUGGCCACGGAAUCCCCCAGAGGUCUGGUGAUCACCUCCAUAUCUCCAAAUAAUGUGUUUCUACCACCACUUCUUGCUUUAUCAACUAUGCACUUUAUCUACUGACCUUCUACCGGGAUAAAUGAAGACUCAGCUCACCAAAAACUCACCUGCCUCUCUUUCAUCCUUCUUCCCAAGAUAGCUAAAUCAGUUCUUAAUUCUUCUACUGGUCACCUUUGUGUAAAUAAAGCA